rnacentral:rRNA from 1 species
CGGGUGAGUAAUGUAUCGGAACGUACCAUUCAGUGGGGGAUAACGUAGCGAAAGUUACGCUAAUACCGCAUAUUCUGUGCGCAGGAAAGCAGGGGAUCGCAAGACCUUGUGCUGAUUGAGCGGCCGAUAUCAGAUUAGCUAGUUGGUGGGGUAAAAGCUCACCAAGGCGACGAUCUGUAGCGGGUCUGAGAGGAUGAUCCGCCACACUGGAACUGAGACACGGUCCAGACUCCUACGGGAGGCAGCAGUGGGGAAUUUUGGACAAUGGGGGCAGCCUGAUCCAGCCAUGCCGCGUGAGUGAAGAAGGCCUUCGGGUUGUAAAGCUCUUUCGGCCGGGAAAAAAUCGCAUGGGUUAAUACCCUGUGUGGAUGAUGGUACCGGAAUAAGAAGCACCGGCUAACUACGUGCCAGCAGCCGCGGUAAUACGUAGGGUGCGAGCGUUAAUCGGAAUUACUGGGCGUAAAGCGUGCGCAGGCGGUUUUGUAAGACAGGCGUGAAAUCCACGGGCUCAACCUGGGAACUGCGCUUGUGACUGCAAGGCUAGAGUAUGGCAGAGGGGGGUGGAAUUCCACGUGUAGCAGUGAAAUGCGUAGAGAUGUGGAGGAACACCAAUGGCGAAGGCAGCCCCCUGGGCCAAUACUGACGCUCAUGCACGAAAGCGUGGGUAGCAAACAGGAUUAGAUACCCUGGUAGUCCACGCCCUAAACGAUGUCAACUAGGUGUUGGGAGGGUAAAACCUUUUAGUACCGGAGCUAACGCGUGAAGUUGACCGCCUGGGGAGUACGGCCGCAAGGUUAAAACUCAAAGGAAUUGACGGGGACCCGCACAAGCGGUGGAUGAUGUGGAUUAAUUCGAUGCAACGCGAAAAACCUUACCUACCCUUGACAUGUCCAGGAGCCUGAAGAGAUUUGGGUGUGCCCGAAAGGGAACUGGAACACAGGAGCUGCAUGGCUGUCGUCAGCUCGUGUCGUGAGAUGUUGGGUUAAGUCCCGCAACGAGCGCAACCCUUGUCGUUAAUUGCCAUCAUUCAGUUGGGCACUUUAACGAGACUGCCGGUGACAAACCGGAGGAAGGUGGGGAUGACGUCAAGUCCUCAUGGCCCUUAUGGGUAGGGCUUCACACGUCAUACAAUGGUCGGUACAAAGGGUUGCCAACCCGCGAGGGGGAGCCAAUCCCAGAAAGCCGAUCGUAGUCCGGAUUGCAGGCUGCAACUCGCCUGCAUGAAGUCGGAAUCGCUAGUAAUCGUGGAUCAGCAUGUCACGGUAAAUACGUUCCCGGGUCUUGUACACACCGCCCGUCACACCAUGGGAGCGGGUUCCGCCAGAAGUAGGUAGCCUAACCGCAAGGGGGGCGCUUACCACGGCGGGGUUCGUGACUGGGGUGAAGUCGAAACAAGGUA